ensembl:rRNA 5S_rRNA 5S ribosomal RNA
GUCCAUGGCCAUAUCACCCUGAACAUGACCCAUCUUUUCUGAUCUCAGAAGCUAAGCAGGGUAGGGCCUGGUUAGUACUUAGAUGGGAGACCACCUGGGAAUACGGGGUGCUAUAGGCU